AAUAGAUACCCCGGUAGUCCACGCCGUAAACGAUGAGUGCUAAGUGUUAGGGGGUUUCCGCCCCUUAGUGCUGCAGCUAACGCAUUAAGCACUCCGCCUGGGGAGUACGGUCGCAAGACUGAAACUCAAAGGAAUUGACGGGGGCCCGCACAAGCGGUGGAGCAUGUGGUUUAAUUCGAAGCAACGCGAAGAACCUUACCAGGUCUUGACAUCCCGUUGACCACUGUAGAGAUAUAGUUUCCCCUUCGGGGGCAACGGUGACAGGUGGUGCAUGGUUGUCGUCAGCUCGUGUCGUGAGAUGUUGGGUUAAGUCCCGCAACGAGCGCAACCCUUGAUCUUAGUUGCCAUCAUUUAGUUGGGCACUCUAAGGUGACUGCCGGUGACAAACCGGAGGAAGGUGGGGAUGACGUCAAAUCAUCAUGCCCCUUAUGACCUGGGCUACACACGUGCUACAAUGGACGAUACAAACGGUUGCCAACUCGCGAGAGGGAGCUAAUCCGAUAAAGUCGUUCUCAGUUCGGAUUGUAGG
rnacentral:rRNA from 1 species